rnacentral:rRNA from 1 species
GACGAACGCUGGCGGCGUGCUUAACACAUGCAAGUCGAACGGAAAGGCCCCCUUGUGGGGUACUCGAGUGGCGAACGGGUGAGUAACACGUGAGUAACCUACCCUUGACUUUGGGAUAACUUCAGGAAACUGGGGCUAAUACCGGAUAGGAGCUCCUGCUGCAUGGUGGGGGUUGGAAAGUUUCGGCGGUUGGGGAUGGACUCGCGGCUUAUCAGCUUGUUGGUGGGGUAGUGGCCCACCAAGGCUUUGACGGGUAGCCGGCCUGAGAGGGUGACCGGCCACAUUGGGACUGAGAUACGGCCCAGACUCCUACGGGAGGCAGCAGUGGGGAAGAUUGCACAAUGGGCGGAAGCCUGAUGCAGCAACGCCGCGUGCGGGAUGACGGCCUUCGGGUUGUAAACCGCUUUCGCCUGUGACGAAGCGUGAGUGACGGUAAUGGGUAAAGAAGCACCGGCUAACUACGUG